UGCUAUGGAUGAUGAGAUCAACAAUUUUACAGUUAUCCCUGUCUGAGAAAGAUGAUGCUGAUAUUGUUUACUCUGACAUAGUA